GAUGAACGCUGGCGGCGUGCCUAAUACAUGCAAGUCGAGCGAACAGACGAGGAGCUUGCUCCUCUGACGUUAGCGGCGGACGGGUGAGUAACACGUGGAUAACCUACCUAUAAGACUGGGAUAACUUCGGGAAACCGGAGCUAAUACCGGAUAACAUGUUGAACCGCAUGGUUCAACAGUGAAAGACGGUCUUGCUGUCGCUUAUAGAUGGAUCCGCGCCGCAUUAGCUAGUUGGUAAGGUAACGGCUUACCAAGGCAACGAUGCGUAGCCGACCUGAGAGGGUGAUCGGCCACACUGGAACUGAGACACGGUCCAGACUCCUACGCGAGGCAGCAGUAGGGAAUCUUCCGCAAUGGGCGAAAGCCUGACGGAGCAACGCCGCGUGAGUGAAGAAGGUCUUCGGAUCGUAAAACUCUGUUAUUAGGGAAGAACAAAUGUGUAAGUAACUAUGCACGUCUUGACGGUACCGAAUCAGAAAGCCACGGCUAACUACGUG
rnacentral:rRNA from 1 species